rnacentral:rRNA from 1 species
UACGAAGGGGGCUAGCGUUGUUCGGAAUUACUGGGCGUAAAGCGCACGUAGGCGGCUUUGUAAGUUAGAGGUGAAAGCCCGGGGCUCAACUCCGGAAUUGCCUUUAAGACUGCAUCGCUCGAAUUGUGGAGAGGUAAGUGGAACUCCGAGUGUAGAGGUGAAAUUCGUAGAUAUUCGGAAGAACACCAGUGGCGAAGGCGACACACUGGGCCAUUACUGACGCUGAGGCGCGAAAGCGUGGGGAGCAAACAGG